CGGGGCGUGGCGCAGUCUGGUAGCGCGCUGCCUUCGGGAGGCAGAGGCCGGAGGUUCGAAUCCUCUCGCCCCGACCA
rnacentral:tRNA from 2 species